GGAGGCGAAACAGACAAAGCGAAGGCUCGCCCUCACGAAAAUGCUGGGGAAAGUCGGGGAAAAGUCGCUUUCCAGAAAGCGCAAGGCCCCGGCCUCCGCGACCUUCCGAGAAGAUCUUUCCCCUGAGGGGGAGGAGAGGGGCGC
rnacentral:ribozyme from 1 species